rnacentral:rRNA from 1 species
CAGUAGCCGCGGUAAUACGAAGGGGGCUAGCGUUGCUCGGAAUGACUGGGCGUAAAGGGCGCGUAGGCGGUUUGUCGAGUUAGAUGUGAAAUUCCUGGGCUUAACCUGGGGACUGCAUUUAAUACUGGCAGGCUUGAGUGUGGAAGAGGGUCGUGGAAUUCCCAGUGUAGAGGUGAAAUUCGUAGAUAUUGGGAAGAACACCGGUGGCGAAGGCGGCGACCUGGUCCAUAACUGACGCUGAGGUGCGAAAGCGUGGGGAGCAAACAGGAUUAGAUACCCCAGUAGUCCCUGUCUCUUAUAC